rnacentral:rRNA from 1 species
AUUGAACGCUGGCGGCAGGCCUAACACAUGCAAGUCGAGCGGAUGAAGGGAGCUUGCUCCUGGAUUCAGCGGCGGACGGGGGAGUAAUGCCUAGGAAUCUGCCUGGUAGUGGGGGAUAACGUCCGGAAACGGGCGCUAAUACCGCAUACGUCCUGAGGGAGAAAGUGGGGGAUCUUCGGACCUCACGCUAUCAGAUGAGCCUAGGUCGGAUUAGCUAGUUGGUGGGGUAAAGGCCUACCAAGGCGACGAUCCGUAACUGGUCUGAGAGGAGGAUCACGCACACUGGAACUGAGACAAGGUCCAGGUUCCUGCGGGAGGGACCAGUGGGGAAGAUUGGGCAGUGGGCGAAAGUGUGACCCAGCAGUUCAGCGUGUGAGAAGAAGAUCUCCGGAUUGUGAAGCACUUUCUGGUGGGAGAAAGCGCAGUAGGCUAAUACCUUGCUGGUUUGACGGUACCAACAGAAGAAGCACCGGCUAACUUCGUG